rnacentral:rRNA from 1 species
UACGUAGGGGGCAAGCGUUGUCCGGAUUUAUUGGGCGUAAAGAGCGUGUAGGCGGCCAGGUAGGUCCGUUGUGAAAACUGGAGGCUUAACCUCCAGCUGUCGAUGGAAACCAUCUGGCUAGAGUCCGGAAGAGGAGAGUGGAAUUCCUGGUGUAGCGGUGAAAUGCGCAGAUAUCAGGAGGAACACCUAUAGCGAAGGCAGCUCGCUGGGACGGUACUGACGCUGAGGCGCGAAAGCGUGGGGAGCGAACAGG